rfam:Bacillus sp. FJAT-27916 Scaffold1, whole genome shotgun sequence.
AGGGCAGUAGCGGAAACGACCUGCACCUUGUAUGCGUUGUAAGUGGAAAGUUGAUAUUCUGCCUGUAUCUUAGAAAUAGGACCGGGACAGAGGG